UACGGGGGGGGCAAGCGUUGUUCGGAAUUACUGGGCGUAAAGGGCUCGUAGGCGGCCAACUAAGUCAGACGUGAAAUCCCUCGGCUUAACCGGGGAACUGCGUCUGAUACUGGAUGGCUUGAGUUCGGGAGAGGGAUGCGGAAUUCCAGGUGUAGCGGUGAAAUGCGUAGAUAUCUGGAGGAACACCGGUGGCGAAGGCGACAUCCUGGACCGACACUGACACUGAGGAGCGAAAGCCAGGGGAGCAAACGGG
rnacentral:rRNA from 1 species